UGAGUUUGAUCCUGGCUCAGGAUGAACGCUAGCUGCAGGCUUAACACAUGCAAGUCGAGGGGCAGCAUGUUGGUUGCUUGCAACCAAUGAUGGCGACCGGCGCACGGGUGAGUAACGCGUAUCCAACCUACCCUUGUCCAUCGGAUAACCCGUCGAAAGGCGGCCUAACACGAUAUGCGGUUCUCAGCAGGCAUCUAACGAGAACGAAAUGUGAAGGAGAAGGAUGGGGAUGCGUCUGAUUAGCUUGUUGGCGGGGUAACGGCCCACCAAGGCGACGAUCAGGUAGGGGUUCUGAGAGGAACGGUCCCCCACAGUUGGAACUGACGACACGGUCCAAACUCCGUACGGGAGGCA
rnacentral:rRNA from 1 species